rnacentral:lncRNA from 1 species
CUGCCUGUUACUCAGCAAGAAAGCGAACACUGGCUUGCUGGCUCAGCACUUAACCUGAGAUGAGGAUGUCCUAACAGCCCUUUUUCUCUAAGGGGUAGUGUAGGGUGGGGUGGGGCCAAAAGGAGAGGAGGAGGAAGGCCUGCCACCCGGGAGGUCCCUAGGACUCAGCAGCAGAGAGGGCCUUGCACCAGCGCUCCGCUCUGUUCCAGAAAAUAUCCUAUUUCUGACCAUCAAUCAGCAUUAAGCCAGUUUGGGGGCUGAGCUUUAGGCACAGGCAGUUGCCAGUAGCAACAGGGCACACGCUCCUGGUCCCUGGUUCCCUUCACGCCCCCACCCCCAGCCUCAGCUCUGUCUGGGUGGAACGAAUGUCUGCUAAUGAACUAAACAAACAGGUCUCUUAAUCUUAUCAUGGAGCUGACCCAGAGACUGGCACAGAUAUCCAAAGUAUCAUAAUUGGCAGGUCAGAAUUAAAACUACAUACAUCAUGGUGACUUUAUAGCUGAGGCAAAGUGGAGCUCAAGUGUUACUUUCCCAGUAAGCAAAUCAUAAUGAAGUAUCAUGCUGGUGACUAAUUUAACUAACAUUGUCCAGGAAAUUGCUGUUGUCCAGGAAGAGAAGAGUUGAGCCGAGUGUCAACUACUAGGCUUCUGGCACCAUCCUGCACAAGAAAUUGGAGCAUAAGGGACAUUUCCACAUUCUAACUUUACAUGAAGACUCAGGACUUUGAAAGCCCAUGAGAAAGUUUUCAUAAGGAUUUAUCCACAAUUUCUUCUUUGAUUUGCUCAGAUGUGAAGCAGGAAACCUUCCAGACAUCCUGAACCUCUGAACUUUUUGUGGAUUGCCCAUCAACACAGGCAAACAUUCAUGAAGCAAUUCAAAAAUCUCUUCUCACUGCAUUAUAAGCAUGUCCUUACGUUAUUCAUAUAUCAAGAGCAUGCCCAUUCCCAACCCACAAUGGAAUGUGAGCCUAAUUACAUGUUCCUUUGGAAUAAGAUCUCACCAGCCCAGGAGUGUCAGAAACCCUCUAUCAUAUAUACGUAUCUUGUUUCCAAAAUGAUCUUCCCAAGCCACCCUAACAGGCCCCCUUCAGAAUGCUUCCUGCUGACAAGUGAAUCUGCUUUUUGCCUUUCACCCAAUCUCAGCUCAUGCUUUCUCUGUGAAAAUAUCACAGACCACAUCUGACAGUGGUCCAGCUAAUUAAUGUACUCCAAUGUCUAGCAAGCAUUUGACAGGAAAAAUAAUCUAUACAGUAUUUAUUGCAAAAUCUUCACCAAUGUGACAAAGAUGAAUGUAAACUUUACAUAAUCAUUUUUCAUUUGUUAUCCAAAGUUGAAAGUGAUUUUCAAAUGCUAACUUUAAAAUUAUGAUGAGGAAGAUAACAGCUCUGCUUUAAAACUGCUUGGCAAUGGAAUUUCUAUAGUAUAAUGGUUUAGCAAUGAGCUAGAAAAAUAAACUCUCUUGCUAAUGUAGUAAAUGGGCCAGAAAUAAACUUCUCAGGGAUUUGGGUGGUGGGGUGGGGUGAGGGAGGGGCACACAGAGGGGAUAGUGGAAUUGGAUUUCUGGAAUAAAUGAUCUGAAACCCUUAGCACACUAUAUCUUCAAAAAGCAAUGUCUUCCUUUAUAUAAUGCACGUAUCACCAUCACGAUACGAGAGCAACUCGAAGAAUCUUAACGUAUACCACGGUAAACACCUACGGCACCCAACUCAGUCUACAGCAGGACACCCAAAAGUUAAAUUCACUUUGGCUGUGGCUGUGCUCCAGGUACAUAUUUUCUCAUGAGCUUUGUUUCUUUGUUCUAGAACCAUCCUUCCCAAUAUUCCUUAACAUUGAAAUUAUACAUGUUAAAUUAAUUAUUGUUCAUUUAACUGAUGAGCUGAAACUCACGUCCUUCCUUUUGAAAGCUAAAGUAAUCUUCUAAUAAAAGGUCAGGAAUUAUCAAAUUUACUUGUAAUUAUUACUAAUUCUUCUGUGACUUCUUUUUUUUUUUUUUGAGGUGGAGUCUUGCUCUGUCGCCCAGGCUGGAGUGCAGUGGCACGAUCUCGGCUCAUUGCAAGCUCCACCUUCUGGGUUCACACCAUUCUCCUGCCUCAGUCUCCUCAGCAGCUGGGAUUACAGGCGCCCACUACCAUGCCAGGCUAAUUUUUUUUGUAUUUUUUAGUAGAGACGGGGUUUCACUGUUAACCAGGAUGGUCUCGAUCUCCUAACCUCGUGAUCCGCCUGCCUCGGCCUCCCAAAGUGCUGGGAUUACAGGCGUGAGACACCACGCCCGGCCUCUUCUGUGACUUCUUAACCACAAAUAAAGUCUUGGCCUUGGAAAAAGGAAGAUCUGAAACAGAACAAGGCAAUUAAAAAGUGGGUGGAGGAAGUAUAGGAGUAGUGGAGAAAAAAGAAAGGAAUGGAUUUUCUAAAUUUAAAACACUCUUUGCCCUUUCCUGAAAUAAUGACUUAUAUUCUUUGAGUUCACAAGAGAGUAAUUGGAUAUGCAUGAUGCAAUGCUGGAAUUUUAGGUAUUUUGCCUAAAGGUUAUUAACAAUUAGUACCACUAGGGGAAAAAUCAUAAAGUUAGUUAGAAUAACAACCCUCUCUCAAAGGAUAAUGAAAACUGGACUUGUAAUCUGGUCAUAAUAAAAAUAUAUUAUGUUUAUAUUGGAGCCUCACAUGUCAAGAGGAAAACUCACAAACUAGAAUAUGUCCAACAGGUGGCCAUGACUAAAUGAAGACUGAAAAACAAGUUGUAUGAGGACCAAUGAAGGAAUCUUCCUUUGAAGCAGUAAAGACUGCGAAAAAAAACAUGAAAAACUGUCUUUAGAUAAAUCCUUUAACAGGAAUGGUACACAGAACAGGGAGAUGUUAUAAGUGGAGCUACUGAUGACAGCAUUAGAGCCAAAGGGUGAAAGGCAGAUGUUGAGUCAUUCAAUAGAAGAGGUGUCUGAUCUCUUCCUAUCCAAUGUAGCAGAAUCCAUCCCAUACUAUAUCUGAAAGAUGACCACUUUGCUUUGACAUUUGCAGUGGUACAGAACUCACUAUCUCAAGAAUACCUUCCUCGGGAUGGUAAUAAGUAUGAGAAAUGCCCUUUCUAGUUCUAAAUUUCUUCUCCACAAGACAACUCAUUCCAUUUUCAAACAAUUAUUAGAUCUAUCCAUCUCUUAGUCUUCUAUUUGUCAAGCAAACAUCUCCAAUUCCUCACAUCAUUAUUAAUUCAGUAUUGUGAACCUUGUACCAUUUUAGUCACCAGCUUUGUGGAUAAUCUUUGGAUUGUAGUGUCUGUAACUGACAUCCAAAUUAAGUGCUCUUGAUAUGGUCUAACUAGCAACUGACCCCAUCCAUAUUUCUAUUUCCAAAGCAGAGAAACAAGAAAAUCAAUUGGCCAAUAUAACUGAAUAAAUCCAGGUAAAUACAUAUUUGGCUUUCAAUUAGUCAGGAAGUCUGAAUUUCUAGAGGAUAUUGAAGAUACAGCAUCAGACAAUGCAUUUGUCUGAUUGCUGACAACUUUUAAUUUCCCUGUUCAAGAAAAUCGAUCAAUGUGUGUUAGCUAAACACCUGUUAUGUUCAACCCUGUGUUAGUCAUCAUUUGAUGUGUAACAGAAGUGUAAGGCCAGGUACCUACAAUAUUUGUAGAGUCAAUACUAAGGUACAUGAAAUAAUUUUAGAGUUUUUACAAGAUAUACAUCAUUAUGUAUACUUAUAUGAAAUAGUCUCAAGUUCAGCAGGGAAGACUGGGCCCAGGUGGGCUGAGGAAUGCAUGUGAAGAGGUAGGGAGGCAGGAAACUUGAAGGAUGGUUAGGGCUUGUCUAUUUGGAAUGGAGAGAGAGGCCACAAAGGAGUGCGUGUGUAGAAAUAAUGAGUAAUAAAGGAGGUCAAGGUUAGUAGGGACGUGUGUGGUUACAAAUAGAAAUAUUUGGAUUUGUACCAUAACAUUUCUAUUACAACUUCCUUUCUCCCAUUCCAAACAUGCUUGGUUUUACAGAAAAAACUUCCAGGACUCAGAUUUCCAUGGGUAUUAGUUUGCAAACUAAUCCCUGAUGAGAUAUUAUGAGGAGCUAAGAGAGUGAUGCUAGAAUUCUCAAGUGGCAAUGGCAAAUUUCAGGGCUGACUUCCUGGAUAACCAAUUCUUUUUUUUUAUUCUGAGCAUGGGAAUUUCAGUUCAUCCAGCAGAAGAAAUGUUUUUUGAUAGAUGUGACUUUUGGUACAUUUUGAAUUAUGUCAUCUUGGGGACAAAUGGUCCCAAAAGCCAAGGUCCUAAAUGUGUACAUCUGAUCCAACUCUAAGAACUUUUGCUCAGUUGUGACGUCAAAGAAUUUCUAUUUUAGAGUGGUCUUCUGCAACUGAUACCAUCCAUAUUUCUGUCUCCAAAGCAGAGAAACAAGAAAAUCAAUUUGCCAAUAUAACUGAAUAAAUCCAGGUAAAUACAUAUUUGGCUUUCAAUUAGCCAGGGAGUCUGAAUUUCUAGAGAAUAUUGAAGAGACAGCGUCAGACAAUGCAAUUUCCUUUAAUAGGGACCAUAACCUCAGAGUUGCUGCUCUGUUUUUUAAUAUUGUACAAUUAACUUUUUUUUUUUUUGCAGCACACUCUGCUUAUAGCUUCUGUGGAAACUUAAACAUUAUUCAAUAGAAUAAUUUCCUGGAAAAUCUUUUGAAAGUGGUCACAGCCCUGACCUUGCUCUGGUGCCCUGGGUCCACCAGCAUGCUGUUUCAUUACCUCAGGAAGGUUUGGUGCCAAGAGACAGUCCAAGAGUUAGUGCAUAAAGAAAGCUAGGUUCAUAAAAGAAUUAAUAUCUGCCUUCUUUCAAGGAGGGAAACUGCCACUUCCAACCAUUUUAUGCAUCUAUCACUUCUCUUCUAUCUUCAUCAUUCAACCCUUCAACUGGCCUACCUAGAUGACAGGUAAAAAUUAUAGAUUUUUAACUCUUAAGAAAUAACUGCCGAAGUCAUUUCUUCCAAACCAUUCUCAUUACCAAUGGGAAACUCAGGCCCAGAAAGCCUAAAUGACUUUUGCAAGACCACAGAGUAAGUAGCAGAGUCAGGACUUAAACUCCACAUUGCAGAAGAUGAACCAGGGAUGAUAUUUUUAAAACUUAGCAAUGGUAUGACAAAAUCACCAAACAGUUAGAAUAGAGCCUCUGAUUGUACUGGUGUGCCAUUAAAUACCAGCCCCAACUGGAUUACAGUGUAUAUCAGUAAUACUUUAAGGGAUAAAGAGAAAAAAUGUGCCACUUACUAUCAAGCUAUUUAAAGGAGCUAGGUAAUAAAAUAAUCAUAAUUUAUUUUUACUGUUGGUUCUUCCCUUUUUCAUCUUUUUGCCUUUUUUUUCCAUUGUCUUUCUUGUUACUAAUCCUGUGAAAAUUCACCCUCUGUUUGGCAGCCCGGGUCAUUGUUAUUUGUGCUAAGCUCCUAUAUUAUUAGUCUGUUAUCAUAUUGCCAUAAAAAAACUACUUGAAGCCAGGCGAGGUGGCUCAUGUCUGUAAUCCUAGCACUUUGGGAGGCCGAGGCAGGCAGAUCACUUGAGGUCAGGGGUUUGAAACCCGACUGGCCAACAUGGUGGAACCCUGUCUCUACUAAAAGUACAAAAAUUAGCUGGAAAUUGCUUGAACCCAGGAGGUGAAGGUUGCAGUGGGCCGAGAUCGUGCCACUACACUCCAGCCUGGGCAACAGAACAAGAGUCCGUCUCCAAAAAAAAUAAAAACAAACAAACAAACAAACAAACAAAAAAAAACAGCACAACUACUUGAGACUGGGUGAUUUAUACAGAAAAAAACAUUUUAUUGAUUCACAGUUCCAUAGGCUGUAUAGGAAGCAUGGGUGGGGAGGCCUCAGGAAACUUGCAAUCAUGGUGGAAGCCAAAGCAGGCACAUCUUACAUGGCCAGAGGAAGAAGCAAGCAAAGGUGGAGGUGCUACACACUUUUCAACCACCAGAUCUCAUGAGAACUCACGCACUAUCACGAGAACAGCAAGGGGGAAAUUCACCUUCAUGAUCCAGUCACCUCCCACUGGGCCCCUCCUCCAAUUCUGGGGAUUAUAAUUCCACAUGAGAUUUGGGCAGGGACACAAAUCCAAACCAUAUAAGCUCCAUUCUGCAUUCAAGUGUAUGUUGGUCUUGCCAAAAUUAUCAAUACCUUCUCCGUAAAUACCACUUUCAAGCCUUGUAGGUUAAGCCCUGAUUAUGUUUGUAAAAGUAGCUUGAUCUACAUGUCUACAAUUGUUCUCUAAUUUGCUUUAUCCAAAUGGAAAAAAAAACACACAAUAUUUUAGGCCUUGAUUUUCAUCAUGAAUUUUUAAAAAUCUAAAAUUGCCUCUUCAUUGUGUUAUUUCAAAAUCAUGAGAUAUCCUUUCAUUGCUUCUACUGAUAAGGUUGUUUGUAACUCAAAAUCAUAAUUGGUAGAUCAACAGAAUAAAAUUAUGAGAUACAAAUAUACAUUUGAUUAUUAUUGCUACUGGUUAGAGCCUUCACUAUGACAUGCAGUGACAUGCUCACAGAAAUGACAAGCCCUAAAACUUCUUGCUUUUUGGUUAAACACUUUAUGAUUAAACAUUUCAAUCUUUAAACUUUCUAAUAGUAUCUUGAAAUUGUGUAUCUCAUUUUAACAUUUUUAAGCCACUUAGACAAAUGACUUUUUGCCAUGCUUGCUUGACUUUUUUUCUUGCAUGGACUUACAGAUAAAGGUGGUCUCAUCCCUAAUGAACAUAUGAGGCCACAAGAAUUUCUCCUUUUUUUUUUUUUUUUUUUUUGUUGUUGUUGUUGUUUAUUUUUGAUACAGGGUCUUGCUCUGUCACCCAGGCUGGAGUACAGUGGCAGGAACAAAGCUCACUGCAGCCUCAGAGUCCUGGACUCAAACCAUACUCCCACCUCAGCCUCCUGAGUAGCUGAGACCCAGGAGCACUCACCACUUCCAGCUAAUUUUUUGUAGAGACAGGAUCUUAAACUCCUGGGUUCAAGCAGACUGCCCACCUCUGUCUCCCAUGUGCUGUGAUUACAGGAGUGAGCCACCAUGCUUGGACAGUUUCUCCUCUUGAAUCAUCAACAGUCCCUGUAAAGUCUCAAGAAAAGUGUUUGGAGUAUCCAUAAUGUGCUAAGUCACUUAGGAACAAAGUUACACAAAACACAUCCCCAGUUUUUGUCUCUAUGCUUUCAAGAUGGGUGAAACUUUAUGUUUGAAGUUUCAUGUUUUAUGCCAAGCAUGAUGAGAGAUAGAGGAAUGGGAAGACUUGGUCUUACAGGUUAAAGAUGUGAAACAUACAAAACAUGCUCUCAUGAGAUAAUUAGACAAACAAGUCAGUGUGAUUGAGAGCAACAUGCUGGGAACUGGUUUAGAGGCUCCUGGAGGUAAGGACAGAGUCACUGUUACAUGUUUGGGGUAUUUUGCUGAAGCAUCGCAGAGGCAGCAUUGUCCUCGUCAACAGGAGAUGGGGCGGGAGGAAAGGAGAGCAGAGGGCUGCAACCAAAGCAACCCAGGGUCCAGGUGACAGAUCUCCCCUAUUGGUAAAAUGUGAUUCAUGUGGUAGCACCGCACUGGGAGCUUCAGUACCUUUAACUUUCUCUCUCAGGCUUUUACACCUGGUGAACGUCUAGAAUAACUGCCACAGAAAAUACAUCUAUGACAUUUAAUCACUGAGUGUUCGAGAGAAGGCAAAGCCCGGACACCAAGUAAGCCAGGUACCCCUGAGGCAAACUCCAGAGGCUUCCCUGGGCCGUGAAACCAGCCAAAGAAGGCAAAAUUCACCCACCCUCCAAAAGACGUUUGCGUUCCCACGCAUGUUCUCCGCCCUGAGAUAGCUUAGAACACAGCUCUACCAACGACUUUUCAUUUCCAUUAACCUAUUCCUGAUUCUUUGAUUCAAGGAACCUUGCCAUCCUUAGCUCUUUGGAUUAUUUAUGAGGUCUGAUUUAUAAUACAAAAUUAUACAGUGUACCAUAGUUAAAACCUUGAAGGAAAAAAUGCAUUUUGUAUUUCUUCUUCUUGGAGAGGCCCAAACACCCCUCCCCAGGGUUGGAAAGGAGAGUGGAGGUAGGGUAAUGGAACUCCCUCUCAGGCCUCUGAAUAUGGAGAAAUUAAGAAGAAUGGGAUGGGGUUGGGGGACAGAGGUAGUAAGCAAACAAAUGACUUAUUUUUAAUCUAGAGUUACCCAUUUGGAGAGAGAUACAGGGUUAUAUCCUAACGGUACCUUUUUAAAAAAUAAGUCAUAAGUAUGCUCAUGCCCUAACAAGUUAGUGAAUUUUUCCAGUAAAAUUAAAAUUAAAUAGAAAGCCAUGGUAAAUUACCCAUUUCAUUUCUCCUUCUAGAUUUAAAAAAAAAAAAAGAGGCACUUUGUCGCUUCUUACUGUGAGUGCACUUCAGCCUUAAUACAUGCAUUUAUGUCAAGGGGGCCAUUUACACUGUUGUCUGCUGGAGUUUUUCUUCUUUCAACUUAGUAGGGAAUAUUUGUAAUCUUUAUUACCCCAAAUAAAUC